AUGUCAGUAUAUCGACACCAUAAAUAUAGCAUCAUUUAACUCCUACAAGUUAAUAAUACAGAAAUUAUUGAGAACUCUAGAAUCAUUGAAGAAUGAAAUUACAUGAAGAAAUCACAUAAAGAAAUGUGAAGUUUCAGGGAGGACUUCUGUGAAUCCGGUGGAACUCUUGGUCAUCCUCAUGAAGCACUAAACUUGGGAAAGGAAGAAGGAAGAGGCUGGAGACAGGAACUUCUCUGUUCUCUCUCAAUCAGUAUAGAUUUGCACUCAGUGGAUCUGCAGUUCAGGAUAUGCGGCUAAAGAAUGACUUCUGUAAUCAAGUGGUUGAAGGCCUGGGAAAAUCUUGUCACUUGGAGAGGUAGUGAGUCACUCUUGAAAAAAAACA
rnacentral:lncRNA from 1 species